UAAAACCAAAGGUGGCAAUCUGACGUUUUGGUCAAAAUUGAGUUAUGGUAGUGGCAACACUGGAAAUCUUGAUUAAAUUUAUAUAAACUACUCUCUCGGAAUCAUAAACGGCUAUCUCCCAUGGUUACAACUGUUUAAAAUGGCCCUUAGUACCAAAUCCGGCAAUCUUCUGAUACUUAGAAACAAAGAUGGCAAUAUUGUAUUCUCAACCAAUAGGAAGCCCUCAAUUUACACGUCAUAGUAUGGCGCAUCUACGGAAAGUUCGUUAAUUUGCAGUGCCUUUUAAAGUGAAUUAUAGGUGUCUAAAUCAUUGCAUUUAGUUAAAUUUAUAAUAAAAGUGAAGAUGGAGAGUCACCCAAUACCAGAGACUAAUAGAUACACAAGAAAGCGGCGAAGAAACACAGAAAACUGGAAGAAGAAUGUGGCCAAAAAAAUGAGGUAUUCAGCUCCAUCUACUGAAACUAAUUACUGUGAAGAGUUAUUGGCUGAUACUAGCGAACUGCGUAUUUGAAAAUACGACUCACAGUUACAAUCGUCUGGUCAUAAGUAAAUUUGUAAUGAGAAAAGUAAUUUAUUACUGUUUCUAAGAAAGUCUAAUUUGAGGCUCAUUUAUGUGACUAAACAUUUUUAUUUUAUUAAAUAAACAAUGAGUAAUAUUUUU